rnacentral:rRNA from 1 species
AUUGAACGCUGGCGGCAUGCCUUACACAUGCAAGUCGAACGGCAGCACGGGAGCAAUCCUGGUGGCGAGUGGCGAACGGGUGAGUAAUAUAUCGGAACGUGCCCAGUCGUGGGGGAUAACGCAGCGAAAGCUGUGCUAAUACCGCAUACGAUCUACGGAUGAAAGCGGGGGAUCGCAAGACCUCGCGCGAUUGGAGCGGCCGAUAUCAGAUUAGCUAGUUGGUGAGGUAAAGGCUCACCAAGGCGACGAUCUGUAGCUGGUCUGAGAGGACGACCAGCCACACUGGAACUGAGACACGGUCCAGACUCCUACGGGAGGCAGCAGUGGGGAGUUUUGGACAAUGGGCGAAAGCCUGAUCCAGCAAUGCCGCGUGCAGGAUGAAGGCCUUCGGGUUGUAAACUGCUUUUGUACGGAACGAAACGGUGAGCUCUAAUACAGUUUGCUAAUGACGGUACCGUAAGAAUAAGCACCGGCUAACUACGUGCCAGCAGCCGCAGUAACAC